UAGGGAAUCUUCCGCAAUGGGCGAAAGCCUGACGGAGCAACGCCGCGUGAGUGAUGAAGGUCUUCGGACCGUAAAACUCUGUUAUUAGGGAAGAACAUAUGUGUAAGUAACUGUGCACAUCUUGACGGUACCUAAUCAGAAAGCCACGGCUAACUACGUGCCAGCAGCCGCGGUAAUACGUAGGUGGCAAGCGUUAUCCGGAAUUAUUGGGCGUAAAGCGCGCGUAGGCGGUUUUUUAAGUCUGAUGUGAAAGCCCACGGCUCAACCGUGGAGGGUCAUUGGAAACUGGAAAACUUGAGUGCAGAAGAGGAAAGUGGAAUUCCAUGUGUAGCGGUGAAAUGCGCAGAGAUAUGGAGGAACACCAGUGGCGAAGGCGACUUUCUGGUCUGUAACUGACGCUGAUGUGCGAAAGCGUGGGGAUCAAACAGGAUUAGAUACCCUGGUAGUCCACGCCGUAACGAUGAGUGCUAAGUGUUAGGGGGUUUCCGCCCCUUAGUGCUGCAGCUAACGCAUUAAGCACUCCGCCUGGGGAGUACGACCGCAAGGUU
rnacentral:rRNA from 1 species